rnacentral:rRNA from 1 species
UACGUAGGGGGCAAGCGUUGUCCGGAAUCAUUGGGCGUAAAGCGCGUGUAGGCGGUUCCGUAAGUCUGCUGUGAAAGUCCAGGGCUCAACCCUGGGAUGCCGGUGGAUACUGCUGGACUAGAGUGCGGAAGAGGCGAGUGGAAUUCCCGGUGUAGCGGUGAAAUGCGCAGAUAUCAGGAGGAACACCGGUGGCGAAGGCGGGUCUCUGGGCCGAUACUGACGCUGAGGAGCGAAAGCGUGGGGAGCGAACAGG